rnacentral:misc_RNA from 1 species
GAUGAAGAACGUAGCGAAAUGCGAUAAGUAGUGUGAAUUGCAGAAUUCAGUGAAUCAUCGAAUCUUUGAACGCACAUUGCGCCCCUUGGUAUUCCGAGGGGCAUGCCUGUUCGAGCGUCAUUAUAACCCCUCAAGCUCAGCUUGGUGUUGGGGCCUGCUGCACUGGCAGCCCUUAAAAUCAGUGGCGGCGCCAUCUGGCUCUAAGCGUAGUAAUUCUUCUCGCUAUGGAGUCCUGGUGGAUGCUUGCCAUCAACCCCCAAUUUUUCUAUGGUUGACCUCAGAUCAGGUAGGGAUACCCGCUGAACUUAAGCAUAUCAAUAAGCGGAGGA